UGGAAGCCUUGCGGAGUCAGGAGCCCGUAGCUCUAGCUUCAGGUCAGGAAAGCUCUGGGGAGUCCAGUUCUCCCAGAUGAUGAAUUCAAUGCUCCAGAUGACAUCAUGCACCUGAAUCAUUUCCGUAUCUUUCUUCCAGGAGCCUGCAGAAUUCCCUGGAACCCAUAUUCACCAAGCACUUACUACAUGUCAGGGCUCAUGUAUACAUGUGUGAUCUUAUUCAUUUCUCACAACGGGCUUGAGAGGUUGGCAUUGGUCCCACUUUAGUGAUGAGAAUCAUGAGCACAGAGAGGUUGGGUAACUUACCUCAGGUCACCCAGCCAGUAGGUGGCUGAGCUGGAACUUGAACACUAGUUAUAUGAUGCCAGACCAUGCUUUUUGCAUUAGACAUUGCCGGGGUCCCGUGCUGGGGAAGGCCUAUGCUGAGGUCACAGGGGGCAGUAUAUUAGUCCAUUUUCACACUGCUAUGAAGAAAUAUCUGAGACUGGGUAAUUUAUAAAGAAAAAGAGGUUUAAUGGACUCAAGAGUUCCACAUGACUGGGGAGGCCUCACAAUCAUGGCAGAAGGGGAAGGAGGAGCAAAGUCACGUCUUGCGUGGCAGCAGACAAGAGAGCGUGUGCAGGGGAACUGCCCUUUAUAAAACCAUCAGAUAUCGUGAGACUUACUCACUAUCACGAGAACAGCAUGGGAAAAACCCACCCCCAUGAUUCAUUUACCUCUCACUGGGUCCCUCCCACAACACGUGGGGCUUAUGGGGGCUACAAUUCAAGAUGAGAUUUGGGUGGGGAUACAGCCAAACCAUAUCAGGCAGUUUGCAGGUGAUCCCACACCCGGAUCAGAUUGUAAAGGAGGGGCCCAAUUCCCCCUUUCCAGGCCUCCUGCCUCUCAUUCCCUCGUAGCACCUCCCUUUUUUCCUCAUUUUUACUUCUGGUUGUCUGCACUGGAAAGAUUUUCAGUGACAAUAGAUUUGUGAUUCAACCAAUAAUAGUAUUAAUAAUCUCUUAUAGAGACGUAUGAUUUCAGACUCCUUUCAUAUACUUUGUGCUGGAAACACCGCUGUGAGGCAGAUGAAUGAGGUGAGGGAGACUCAGAGAAGCUGAAGAACUUGUCCAGGCCCACACAGCUAGCAAGGUUAGAGGUCAGAACCAGAACUCAGGCUCCUGGUUCCUUAUGCUGCAUGGAGUCUGACUUCUGAUCUCAGUCCUCUUAGCACUUUUUUUUUUGAGACAGAGUCUUGCUCUGUCAUCCAGGCUGGAGUGCAGUGGCACGAGCUCAGCUCACUGCAGCCUCAAACUCCUGGGCUCAAGGAAUCCUUCUGCCUCAGCCUCUCAAGUAGCUGAGACCACAGGGGUGCACCACCAUGCCUGGCUAAUUUUUUUAUCUGCAGAGCUGAAGUCUUACCAUGCUCCCCAGUCUGAUCGUAAGCUCCUAGGCUCAAGCAAUCUUCCUGAUUCAGCUUCCCAAAGUCUUGGGAUUACAGAACCACCUUGCUUGGCCACUUAGCACUUUCUGAAUGACAUCUACCUUGUUCCAGGCCCUGUGCUGGGUACUGGGAGAGAUUCUGAGGCUUAAGACACAGUCUCAGCCUUUGAGGAGCUGAAAAUUCAGCAGUAAAAGAAAGAAAAGCCAAGGAAUCACACGGAGACAGUAAAGCAGCAAUUGGCAGGGGUCUCAGAAGAGUCCCUUGGAGGUAUCACUUCUCCUAGGGAUGUCUGCAUCUCCCCAGAGACCAAAAUUAUCAAUAACCAUGUGCCACAGUCAUGCUGCUUGCCAUAUCCAAAUACCAUCUCUAUUAGUCUAUUCUUGUGCUGCUAAUAAAGACAUACCCAAGACUAGGUCAUUUAUUAAGGAAAGAGGUUUAAUGGACUCAGAGUUCCACAUGGCUGGGAAGGUGUCACGAUCAUGAUGGAAAAUGAAGGAAGAGCAAAGGGACAUCUUACCUGGCAGCAGGCAAGAGAAAGCUUGUGUAGGGGAACUCCCCUUUAUAAAACCGUCAGCUCUCGUGAGAUUCACUAUCACGAGAACAGCAUGGGAAAGAUCUGCCGCCAUGAUUCAAUUACUUCCCACUGAGUCCCUCCCACGACAUGUGGGAGUUACGGGAGCUACAAUUCAAGAUGAGAGUUGGGUGGGGGCACAGGUGAACCAUAUCGCCAUCUGUAGUAUUACUUAUUUACCGUAGUCCCCCUUAUUUAUCGAGGAUAUGUUCCAAGACCCCCCGUGGAUGCCUGAAAUCAUGGAUAGUACCAAACCCUAUAUAGUCUGUUUUUUUCCAUAACUACAUACCUGUGAUAAAGUUUAAUUUAUAAAUUAGGCACAGUAAGGGACUAACAACAAUAAGUAAUAAAAUAGAACAGACCAGGUUCAGUGGCUCAUGCCUGUAAUCUCAGCAUUUUGAGAGACUGAGG
rnacentral:lncRNA from 1 species